GUGCCGCCCUCCACCUCCAGCCGACGCGCUGCCCCCGACCUCCAGCCGACGCGCCGUCCCCCACCUCCCGCCGACGCACUGCUCCCUCCACCUUCCGGUGACGAGCCGCUCUCCGACCUCCCACCAAAGCGUCGCCGCCUUGAUCCGCCCGGUGUAGGCGUCCCUCCUCUCUGCCACCUCUCCUGCAUCAACACUGCCCGGCGUCUCACCCCGGCCCUCCACACACCAUUUUCCGUGGUCGUCGGCGCCACACAAGCUUCUACGGCCGCCGCGCCUCCUGGAUCCAACGAGGCUGCGUCGCACUGGCCUCGGAUCUGCCCGCCUCCACGCUGUCACCUGCCGACCCCGGCCCCGGCCCCGGAUCCCCCUCCAACCAAAUUCCUGCCAUGGACGAGUUCUGGUUAUCUGGAUUGGUCUUGAUAAAGCUUUCAUAUAGGAUACAGCUUAAGCUGGAGUUCGUCGCUAAGCAGGAAACGUGGUUAUCAAUUAUCUUGUAUACAAAAGGUUUGGGAAUGGAUCUUCUAAUGAAAGCUGGAGCAGAAGAAGAAGUCCACGAGGGAGAGAUGGAGAUGUGAGCAUGUAUACAUAUGUUCUGGAGACACUAGACUUAUUUGGUGGUGUGUGUGUGCUGUUGUAUCCUCUUCCGGCCACUCUAAUCUACACCCUCAGUACAAGCCGAUGCAAU